rnacentral:rRNA from 1 species
UACGUAGGGUGCGAGCGUUAAUCGGAAUUACUGGGCGUAAAGAGCGCGUAGGCGGCGCGGUACGACCGCUGUGAAAGCCCCCAGCUCAACUGGGGGAGGGUCAGCGGUAACGGCCGUGCUAUGAGUGCAGGAGAGGGAAGUGGAACUCCGGGAGUAGCGGUGAAAUGCGUAGAGACCCGGAGGAACACCAGUGGCGAAGGCGGCUUCCUGGUCUGCGACUGACGCUGUGGCGCGAAAGCUAGGGGAGCAAACGGG